rnacentral:rRNA from 1 species
UACGUAGGGUGCGAGCGUUGUCCGGAUUUAUUGGGCGUAAAGAGCUCGUAGGCGGUUUGUCGCGUCGGCCGUGAAAUCUCCACGCUUAACGUGGAGCGUGCGGUCGAUACGGGCAGACUUGAGUUCGGUAGGGGAGACUGGAAUUCCUGGUGUAGCGGUGAAAUGCGCAGAUAUCAGGAGGAACACCGGUGGCGAAGGCGGGUCUCUGGGGCGAUACUGACGCUGAGGAGCGAAAGCGUGGGGAGCGAACAGG